GAUGAAGAACGUAGCGAAAUGCGAUAAGUAGUGUGAAUUGCAGAAUUCAGUGAAUCAUCGAAUCUUUGAACGCACAUUGCGCCCCAUGGUAUUCCGUGGGGCAUGCCUGUUCGAGCGUCAUUUACCCCCUCAAGCUCCGCUUGGUGUUGGGCGUCUGUCCCGCUUCGCGCGCGGACUCGCCCCAAAGGUAUUGGCAGCGGUCGUGCCAGCUUCUCGCGCAGCACAUUGCGCUUCUCGAGGCACCGGUGGGCCCGCGUCCAUCAAGCUCACCCCCCCAGUUUGACCUCGGAUCAGGUAGGGAUACCCGCUGAACUUAAGCAUAUCAAUAAGCCGGAGGA
rnacentral:misc_RNA from 1 species